rnacentral:rRNA from 1 species
CCUACGGGGCGCACCAGUGGGGAAUAUUGGACAAUGGGCGAAAGCCCAAUCCAGCAAUGCCGCGUGUGUGAAGAAGGUCUUCGGAUUGUAAAGCACUUUCGACGGGGACGAUGUUGACGGUACCCGUAGAACAAGCCCCGGCUAACUUCGUGCCAGCAGCCGCGGUAAUACGAAGGGGGCUAGCGUGGCUCGGAAUGACUGGGCGUAAAGGGCGCGUAGGCGGUUUAUGCAGUCAGAUGUGAAAUCCCCGGGCUUAACCUGGGAACUGCAUUUGAGACGCAUAGACUAGAGGUCGAGAGAGGGUUGUGGAAUUCCCAGUGUAGAGGUGAAAUUCGUAGAUAUUCGGAGGAACACCAGUGGCGAAGGCGGCUUACUGGUCUGCAACUGACGCUGAGGCGCGAAAGCGUGGGGAGCAAACAGGAUUAGAUACCCGUGUAGUC